GAUGAACGCUGGCGGCGUGCCUAAUACAUGCAAGUCGAGCGAAUGGAUUAAGAGCUUGCUCUUAUGAAGUUAGCGGCGGACGGGUGAGUAACACGUGGGUAACCUGCCCAUAAGACUGGGAUAACUCCGGGAAACCGGGGCUAAUACCGGAUAAUAUUUUGAACUGCAUGGUUCAAAAUUGAAAGGCGGCUUCGGCUGUCACUUAUGGAUGGACCCGCGUCGCAUUAGCUAGUUGGUGAGGUAACGGCUCACCAAGGCAACGAUGCGUAGCCGAACGGAGAGGGUGAGCGGCCACACUGGGACUGAGACACGGCCCGGACUCCUACGGGAGGCAGCAGUAGGGAAUCUUCCGCAAUGGACGAAAGUCUGACGGAGCAACGCCGCGUGAGUGAUGAAGGCUUUCGGGUCGUAAAACUCUGUUGUUAGGGAAGAACAAGUGCUAGUUGAAUAAGCUGGCACCUUGACGGUACCUAACCAGAAAGCCACGGCUAACUACGUGCCAGCAGCCGCGGUAA
rnacentral:rRNA from 1 species